rnacentral:lncRNA from 1 species
AGAUGUCUCACUGACAGUGGAUUGAAUGAUGAAAGUGAGAAUUAAAGAACCCAUUUCUUUCAUCUCUUUUUCUUAACUGAUUCCCUAUUUUCAUGUCUUAGGAGAGAAACCUCAGACAUUGCUCUCCUGGCCCAGGUCUGUUCACAAACAGAGAGGCCCAGUGUUGAGCAGAAGAAAUGGGCCGUUCAAGUGGUUUUUAAUCAAGUAUCCCACAUGGCUAAUUCAGGUCCUCCAAAAUAGUCCCAGGGAGCCAAAAACGAGGGAGCUGCACAGUGAUAGACACGUGGAGGCACUCAUAGAGACGCAGGUCGUAAAUGAGUGAACGCAUGCACCCAUGGCUGAAUAAAUGACCCAUGUGACUGAUACAAUUCUGCAAAUACAGCAGAUGCCCAGGAACCAACACCAUAAAACAUCUCAGAUCCUCGGAGAAUCAAACCCAGUCUCAGCUGCUGAGGUCACUAGUACGGCCCAAGGGCACGAGGCGUCUGUGCUGCUUCAAUUUCAAAGGGUGGCUGGCUCACUGGCCCAGCCCGCCCCCACGGAAACCCUGAGCAAGGCACAUCUCCUGCAUGGUCUGAAAGGCAGAAGAUAAAUGUCUAUCCACAGCGAAAACAGUAGACGAACCCUUCAGCACAUCUCUGGCCAGAAAGCAGAGGGUCGAUGGCAGGGCGCCCACACAUUCGACUUGCCAGUAACAGUCCAAGGUCUUGUUGUUCUGCUUUUGUACAGAAAAUUAGACAGUCAUGGAAGUCAAAGAAGGCAGAUGACAAUGUAGUUCCAACCCCACAGCCCAUGUGUCACCUCUUUUGUUUCAUUCACUUCAUGGAUGUGAUCUUUUGAAAAUGAUCCAAAGUCACAUGAAGGCUUCCCAGUCACUCCUAGCUUCACAUGAUUGUAUCCUCCUCUCAAAUCCUGACCUUCCCUUAACCCCUUUCUCUGCAGUGCCAGCAUCUCACCAGUCUCUGAAAAGUAAUCCCCUUUCUAUUCUGAAUCAGUG